GACGAACGCUGGCGGCGUGCUUAACACAUGCAAGUCGAGCGGUAAGGCCCUUUCGGGGGUACGACGAGCGGCGAACGGGUGAGUAACACGUGGGUGACCUGCCCUCAGCUCUGGGAUAAGCCUGGGAAACCGGGGUACUAAUACUGGAUAUGACUCCAUGACGCAUGUUGUGGGGUGGAAAGCCUUGUGCGGCUGAGGAUGGGCCCGCGGCCUAUCAGCUUGUUGGUGGGGUGAUGGCCUACCAAGGCGACGACGGGUAGCCGGCCUGAGAGGGCGACCGGCCACACUGGGACUGAGACACGGCCCAGACUCCUACGGGA
rnacentral:rRNA from 1 species